rnacentral:rRNA from 1 species
UGGUAUUGAAAUUUCUGAAAGUAGACUCUAAGGUAUUAAACAGUUAGAGGUUCGAAACUUAAAAGAUUUGGCGGUACCUUAGCCUAGUUAGAGGAACCUGCCCCAGGAUCAAUAAUCCCUGUAAUAUCUUACUUUACUUAGUUAAUCAGCAUGUAUACCGCCAUUUUGUUAGGUGAAUUUUAUAGAAAUAUGCCAGGAUAGGAUGCGUCCUAAUAAAUUAGGCAAUGAUGCAGCCUAUGGUAAAGUGUGAGGUGGGUUACAAUGAUAUCAGUAGGAGACGGAUAAUUUACUUGAAAAAAGAUUUUUGAAGGUGGAUUCAAAUGUAAGACUUAUUUUAAUAAGUUGCUUUAAGUGCUCUUAGGUAUGUA